GUUGUAUGGUUAAGUGACUAAGCGUACACGGUGGAUGCCUUGGCAGUCAGAGGCGAUGAAAGACGUAGUAACUUGCGAUAAGCCCAGAUUAGGUAGUAACAACCAUUUGAGUCUGGGAUUUCUGAAUGGGGAAACCCACUAGCAUAAGCUAGUAUCGUUAUGUGAAUACAUAGCAUAACGAGGCGAACCGGGGGAACUGAAACAUCUAAGUACCCCGAGGAAAAGAAAUCAACCGAGAUUCCGAAAGUAGCGGCGAGCGAAAUUGGACUAGCCCUUAAGCUUUACACGCGUUAGACGAACGGUCUGGAAAGUCCGACGAUACAGGGUGAUAGUCCCGUAGUUGACGACGUGUGUUCAGUGAAAUCGAGUAGGGCGGGACACGUGAUAUCCUGUCUGAAUAUGGGGGGACCAUCCUCCAAGGCUAAAUACUACUGACUGACCGAUAGUGAACCAGUACCGUGAGGGAAAGGCGAAAAGAACCCCUGUGAGGGGAGUGAAAUAGAACCUGAAACCGUGUACGUACAAGCAGUAGGAGCAGGCUUUGUCCUGUGACUGCGUACCUUUUGUAUAAUGGGUCAGCGACUUAUAUUCAGUGGCAAGGUUAACCAUCUAGGGGAGCCGUAGGGAAACCGAGUCUUAACUGGGCGUUCAGUCUCUGGAUAUAGACCCGAAACCAGGUGAUCUAGCCAUGGGCAGGUUGAAGGUUGAGUAACAUCAACUGGAGGACCGAACCGACUAAUGUUGAAAAAUUAGCGGAUGACUUGUGGCUAGGGGUGAAAGGCCAAUCAAACCUGGAGAUAGCUGGUUCUCCCCGAAAGCUAUUUAGGUAGCGCCUCGGACGAAUACUACUGGGGGUAGAGCACUGUUAAGGCUAGGGGGUCAUCCCGACUUACCAACCCUUUGCAAACUCCGAAUACCAGUAAGUACUAUCCGGGAGACACACGGCGGGUGCUAACGUCCGUCGUGGAGAGGGAAACAACCCAGACCGCCAGCUAAGGUCCCAAAUUACUACUAAGUGGGAAACGAUGUGGGAAGGCUCAGACAGCCAGGAUGUUGGCUUAGAAGCAGCCAUCAUUUAAAGAAAGCGUAAUAGCUCACUGGUCGAGUCGGCCUGCGCGGAAGAUGUAACGGGGCUAAGUA
rnacentral:rRNA from 1 species